rnacentral:rRNA from 1 species
UACGAAGGGGGCUAGCGUUGCUCGGAAUGACUGGGCGUAAAGGGCGCGUAGGCGGAUGGCACAGUCAGAUGUGAAAUUCCCGGGCUUAACCUGGGGGCUGCAUUUGAUACGUGUUGUCUAGAGUGAGGAAGAGGGUUGUGGAAUUCCCAGUGUAGAGGUGAAAUUCGUAGAUAUUGGGAAGAACACCGGUGGCGAAGGCGGCAACCUGGCCCUUGACUGACGCUGAGGCGCGAAAGCGUGGGGAGCAAACAGG